GUAGGUGGCAAGCGUUGUCCGGAAUUAUUGGGCGUAAAGCGCGCGCAGGCGGUUCUUUAAGUCUGAUGUGAAAGCCCACGGCUCAACCGUGGAGGGUCAUUGGAAACUGGAGAACUUGAGUACAGAAGAGGAAAGCGGAAUUCCACGUGUAGCGGUGAAAUGCGUAGAGAUGUGGAGGAACACCAGUGGCGAAGGCGGCUUUCUGGUCUGUAACUGACGCUGAGGCGCGAAAGCGUGGGGAGCAAACAGGGAUUAGAUACCCUGGUAGUCCACGCCGUAAACGAUGAGUGCUAAGUGUUAGGGGGUUUCCCGCCCCUUAGUGCUGCAGCUAACGCAUUAAACACUCCGCCUGGGGAGUACGGCCGCAAGGCUG
rnacentral:rRNA from 1 species